AUUGAACGCUGGCGGCAUGCUUUACACAUGCAAGUCGAACGGUAACAGGCCUUCGGGCGCUGACGAGUGGCGAACGGGUGAGUAAUGCACCGGAACGUGCCCAGUCGUGGGGGAUAACUAUCCGAAAGGAUAGCUAAUACCGCAUACGAUCUGCGGAUGAAAGCGGGGGACCGUCGGGCCUCGCGCGAUUGGAGCGGCCGAUGUCAGAUUAGGUAGUUGGUGGGGGAAAGGCUCACCAAGCCAACGAUCUGUAGCUGGUCUGAGAGGACGACCAGCCACACUGGGCCUGAGACACGGCCCAGACUCCUACGGGAGGCAGCAGUGGGGAAUUUUGGACAAUGGGCGCAAGCCUGAUCCAGCAAUGCCGCGUGCAGGAAGAAGGCCUUCGGGUUGUAAACUGCUUUUGUACGGAGCGAAAAGGCUCCCUCUAAUACAGGGGGCUCAUGACGGUACCGUAAGAAUAAGCACCGGCUAACUACGUGCCAGCCGCCGCUGUAACAC
rnacentral:rRNA from 1 species